GAUGAACGCUGGCGGCGUGCCUAAUACAUGCAAGUCGAGCGAACAGACGAGGAGCUUGCUCCUCUGACGUUAGCGGCGGACGGGUGUGUAACACGUGGAUAACCUACCUAUAAGACUGGGAUAACUUCGGGAAACCGGAGCUAAUACCGGAUAAUAUAUUGAACCGCAUGGUUCAAUAGUGAAAGACGGUUUUGCUGUCACUUAUAGAUGGAUCCGCGCCGCAUUAGCUAGUUGGUAAGUUAACGGCUUAUCAAGGCAACGAUGCGUAGGCGACCGGAGAGGGUGAUCGGCCACACGGGAACUGAGACACGGACCAGACGCCUACGGGAGGCAGCAGUAGGGAAUCGUCCGCAAAGGGCGAAAGCAUGACGGAGCAACGCCGCGUGAGUGAUGAAGGUCUUCGGAUCGUAAAACUCUGUUAUGAGGGAAGAACAAAUGUGUAAGUAACUAUGCACGUCUUGACGGUACCUAAUCAGAAAGCCACGGCUAACUACGUG
rnacentral:rRNA from 1 species